AGUCUUAUCGACCGGAAGGGAUUCCUUCCGGUCGAUGAGGUAAAACACCCUCAUCGACGGAAGGGAUUCCUUCCGUCGAUGAGGUUGUUAUACCUCAUCGACGAAGGAAUCCCUUCCGGCCGAUGAGGUA
rnacentral:miRNA from 1 species